rnacentral:rRNA from 1 species
AUUAGAUGAGCCUAUAUUAGAUUAGCUAGUUGGUGGAGUAAUAGCCUACCAAGGCAACGAUCUAUAGCUGAUCUGAGAGGAUGAUCAGCCACACUGGAACUGAGAUACGGUCCAGACUCCUACGGGAGGCAGCAGUGGGGAAUAUUGGACAAUGGGCGAAAGCCUGAUCCAGCUAUGCCGCAUGAGUGAAGAAGGCCUUUGGGUUGUAAAGCUCUUUUAGUGAGGAAGAUAAUGACGGUACUCACAGAAGAAGUCCUGGCUAACUCCGUGCCAGCAGCCGCGGUAAUACGGAGAGGGCUAGCGUUAUUCGGAAUUAUUGGGCGUAAAGGGCGCGUAGGCUGAUUAAUAAGUUAAAAGUGAAAUCCCGAGGCUUAACCUUGGAAUUGCUUUUAAAACUAUUAAUCUAGAGAUUGAAAGAGGAUAGAGGAAUUCCUGAUGUAGAGGUAAAAUUCGUAAAUAUUAGGAGGAACACCAGUGGCGAAGGCGUCUAUCUGGUUCAAAUCUGACGCUGAGGCGCGAAGGCGUGGGGAGCAAACAGGAUUAGAUACCCUGGUAGUCCACGCUAUAAACGAUGAAUGUUAAAUAUGGGGAAG